rnacentral:lncRNA from 10 species
ACGCACUCCCUAGCAGCACCACAACAAGAGCAGCCAGCCCAGGCUCCUCACCCGGACCUCUCGGCGCCGGUCCCAAUGUCAAGUCCACGACCCAAGCCCCUCUGGGCCAGUAGCUGUUGUCAGGGGUCCCGGCCGGCACCCGCGCCUCACUCCCUCCCCAGCGGAGAGGACAACCGAGAGAGAGUAAGCCAGCGGAUACCCAGCCAGACGACCUGGACUCACCGGGAGUCUCCCAGAGCUAAACCCCCAGAGUCCCAGCACCAGGCCAGCCAGAGUCCCCCUGAGUCCACCCCGGGGAGCCCCACGAUCCCGUUAGGAAACAACGGAGGAUGGGGCUGGGAGCCCCAAGCCGGGCUCCGAAUGCUUGGCCCGGCGCUCCUCUAGCCUGGCUGGCCUGCCAGCUCUUCCCAGGACCCUGCCUGAGAGUCACCCACCUGCCCGGCCUUUCGGGGCUCAUCUAAAAGGCUCCUCCGCCAAGACUAGGGGACACCAGGAAUUGGGUUUGUUUGCGGUGCCUCUGAAGGGGCAAGAUGGCGACAGGUAACAGGGCGCAGGCGCAGCCGCGCGCGGCCAGUCGGGAGGUGUAGUUCGCUUUUCCCGCCUUUCGGAGAACAAACACCAAAAGGCCUCCAUUCAUCUUGUCCUUCUUUUCCUCCGCGUUAUGAAAGAAAAGGACAGACAUCGCGGAGGGUGCUGGGAGUUGUGGUCCGAAUCCAAACUCCAACCUCUUUCGCUCCAGGUUUGCUGUCGUACGCGCAAGGAAGGCCGGGAUUGUAGUUCCCUUGGUUUCUCCUGCAUACCCUCCUGUCUCUGGCUUCGCGCGCCUCUCCUGGGCUGCCGUCUCCCAGCCAAUCGGCUGCGCUCUCUGCUACGUGUGGCGUCACACGUAGCGGCCAAGAUGGCGCUAGCGGUUGGAGCAGGGGCUCUGCUGCGACCUUUACGGUAGUGAGGUUAGGGACGAUGGGAGAGCAGCUUUGUUCCUGAAGUGCCGUCGAGGAUUAGGAUCGAGUUUCUUCGAUCGUGAGGGCAAUUAUUAGUGGCCUCUAGCCCCCCAGAUGGCAUCUUGAGGAGAGAGAAUCCACGCUACGAGAACUAACAUAGUGGACAUCGCAGUUGUCCGUAGCCGAUUUGCGGGUUACGGAGUUGUUGCAAGUAAAGAAGGGGAAAUCCGAGCGUUCUCGCGUUGGAUUUCCUCCACGUGUGAAGUGGGAAUGGUAGUGAUAUCUCGUGCUAUCUCUGUCAAGGGCAAGAAGGAGAAGGAAUUUAUUUGAGGCCCUACGACGUGGUGCGGUGGCUCACGCCUGUAAUCCCAACACUUUGGGAGGCCGAGGCAGGCGGAUCAUCUGAGAUCGAGAGUUCGAGACCAGCUUGACCAACAUGGAGAAACCCCGUCUCUACUAAAAGUACAAAAUUAGCCAGGCAUGGUGGCACAUGCCCGUAAUCCCAGCUACUCGGGAGGCUGAGGCAGGAGAGUAGCUUGAGCCCAGGAGGCGGAGGUUGUGGUGAGCCGAGAUCGCGCCAUUGCACAGCCUGGGCAACGAGCGAAACUCCAUCUCAAAAAAAUAAAUAAAAAUUUUUUUAAAAAAGAA